CUACGGGCGGCACCAGUGGGGAAUAUUGCACAAUGGACGAAAGUCUGAUGCAGCAACGCCGCGUGGAGGAUGACACAUUUCGGUGCGUAAACUCCUUUUAUAUAAGAAGAUAAUGACGGUACUAUAUGAAUAAGCACCGGCUAACUCCGUGCCAGCAGCCGCGGUAAUACGGAGGGUGCAAGCGUUACUCGGAAUCACUGGGCGUAAAGAGCGUGUAGGCGGGUUAAUAAGUUGGAAGUGAAAUCCUAUGGCUCAACCAUAGAACUGCUUCCAAAACUGUUAACCUAGAAUAUGGGAGAGGUAGAUGGAAUUUCUGGUGUAGGGGUAAAAUCCGUAGAGAUCAGAAGGAAUACCGAUUGCGAAGGCGAUCUACUGGAACAUUAUUGACGCUGAGACGCGAAAGCGUGGGGAGCAAACAGGAUUAGAUACCCCGGUAGUC
rnacentral:rRNA from 1 species